CCGAGAUGUUGAUCCGAAUAGGAGGAUGUCAGUUGCUGAACAGGUUGACUAUGUCAUUAAGGAAGCAACUAAUCUAGAUAACUUGGCUCAGCUGUAUGAAGGUUGGACAGCCUGGGUGUGAAUGGCAAGACAGUAGAUGAGUCUGGUUAAGCGAGGUCAGACAUCCACCAGAAUCAACUCAGCCUCAGGCAUCCAAAGCCACACCACAGUCGGUGGUGAUGCAACUGGGGGCUUACUCUGAGGAAACCUAGGAAAUCUCGGUGCACUAGGAAGUGAAUCCCGCAGGACAGCUGCACUCAGGGAUACGCCCAACACCAUGGCCUGCAACCCCAGGGUCAAGGGUGAAGGAAAGCAAGCUCACCGCCUGAACACGGAGAUUGUCUUUCUGCCACAGAACAGCAGCAGACGUGUCGGGAGGUUAGCUGCGGAAAGAAAUCGGGAUGCCGCGGAGCACAGAGUGAUUUGGAACUCCAUUCCACCUGACCCUGUGUGUACAAUCCAGG
rnacentral:lncRNA from 1 species